CAGGUCAAAAUCUAAUCACCAAGGUGAUGGUGGUAAAGCAUGGGACUGUAAGGAGGUGAUCAGGGCACACUGGCAGAGUUCCCAAGUAACAUUUAUACCUCCACAAGGGAGAUCCCAGAGGACUCUUCCUAUCCAUUCCUACAGGAACAGAGAAGAUUAGAGCAAUUCAACCCCAAGUCAAGGAAUGCUGGGAGCCAACAGAAGCUAGGGAAGCAGAGAAGACCCUGCAGAGCCAGCCCCGCUCUGACAACACCUCUCUUUGAACUUGGACCCUUAAGAAGAAAAGAUUGGCCAAGGGUGCUGAAGUUUAGAGAUACUAUGGAUGAUAAAAGGAUGCACCUGCUUCAGCCACAGAGAAAAAAGCUGAGAUACUCUGAACUGACAAGCCCAUCUUCAGACUGUGUGCCAGAGAGUUCCCUGCUCAC